rnacentral:rRNA from 1 species
AGGCCGAUGGCGACCGGCGCACGGGUGAGCAACACGUAUCCAACCUGCCGUCUACUCUUGGACAGCCUUCUGAAAGGAAGAUUAAUACAAGAUGGCAUCAUGAGUCCGCAUGUUCACAUGAUUAAAGGUAUUCCGGUAGACGAUGGGGAUGCGUUCCAUUAGAUAGUAGGCGGGGUAACGGCCCACCUAGUCUUCGAUGGAUAGGGGUUCUGAGAGGAAGGUCCCCCACAUUGGAACUGAGACACGGUCCAAACUCCUACGGGAGGCAGCAGUGAGGAAUAUUGGUCAAUGGGCGAGAGCCUGAACCAGCCAAGUAGCGUGAAGGAUGACUGCCCUAUGGGUUGUAAACUUCUUUUAUAAAGGAAUAAAGUCGGGUAUGCAUACCCGUUUGCAUGUACUUUAUGAAUAAGGAUCGGCUAACUCCGUGCCAGCAGCCGCGGUAAUACGGAGGAUCCGAGCGUUAUCCGGAUUUAUUGGGUUUAAAGGGAGCGUAGAUGGAUGUUUAAGUCAGUUGUGAAAGUUUGCGGCUCAACCGUAAAAUUGCAGUUGAUACUGGAUAUCUUGAGUGCAGUUGAGGCAGGCGGAAUUCGUGGUGUAGCGGUGAAAUGCUUAGAUAUCACGAAGAACUCCGAUUGCGA